rnacentral:rRNA from 1 species
UACGGGGGGGGCAAGCGUUGUUCGGAAUUACUGGGCGUAAAGGGCGCGUAGGCGGUUUGCUAAGUUGAAUGUGAAAACUCUGGGCUUAACCCAGAGCCUGCAUUCAAUACUGGCAGGCUGGAGUUCUGGAGGGGAUAGCGGAAUUCCCGGUGUAGUGGUGAAAUGCGUAGAUAUCGGGAGGAACACCAGUGGCGAAGGCGGCCGACUGGGCCGAUCCUGACGCUGAGACCCGAAAGCUAGGGUAGCGAACCGG